rnacentral:rRNA from 1 species
GACGAACGCUGGCGGCGUGCUUAACACAUGCAAGUCGAACGGAGAGGCCCUGCUUUUGUGGGGUGCUCGAGUGGCGAACGGGUGAGUAACACGUGAGUAACCUGCCCUUGACUUUGGGAUAACUUCAGGAAACUGGGGCUAUUACCGGAUAGGAGCUCCUGCUGCAUGGUGGGGGUUGGAAAGUUUCGGCGGUUGGGGAUGGACUCGCGGCUUAUCAGCUUGUUGGUGGGGUAGUGGUUUACCAAGGCUUUGACGGGUAGCCGGCCUGAGAGGGGGACCGGCCACAUUGGGACUGAGAUACGGCCCAGACUCCUACGGGAGGCAGCAGUGGGGAAUAUGGCACAAUGGGCGGAAGCCUGAUGCAGCAACGCCGCGUGCGGGAUGACGUCCUUCGGGUUGUAAACCGCUUUCGCCUGUGACGAAGCGUGAGUGACGGUAAUGGGUAAAGAAGCACCGGCUAACUACGUG